UUAAUAGAAGCCAAAACUUAAGAGGCAUUUCACUGUUAAUGAAGUAAUUGAGACACCUCCUAUUAAA
rnacentral:tRNA from 1 species